GUGAUUAGCCUUUGCUUAUGCAAAGAGGAAUCUACAAAGGUACAAUUUCAACUCACUUUGUUUUGAGUUGAUUAAUGGUUCACCAAUCUACUAGGCUUUGAAUUUCUUGGUUAAUGUUUUGUUUUUAAGUGCAUGCUAGCAUGAUUCCGCCUUUAAUUGUUAAUUGCAUGCUUAUUGAUGUUGCUUAAAUGAACAUGUUUUCACAAAAUUUUCCUUCAUGAAGGAUUGGUUUUAGCAUUUGUUUGCGGAUUGUUUAACUGCUGUUACAUCAUGCACUUAGUCUUCCAUGUGCGUUAAACUGGGGUGUGGUAAUAUUGUUAUAGAAGUUGAUGAGGUAAUAGUAUAGCUAUGGAUAAGUAGAUGUCUAGCAGGUUCUCAUUUUUUUUACUGUUGCCAAGGUGCUUUGGAAUCCUGUAUCCCCCGGUUUCCUAAAUCUUGUGGUCUACUCAGUUACUAAUUGAACUGAAUUGAAAAUGCUAGUUAGGUAUGACCUUGGCCUUGGGUUUACUUAAUAUUUUGGACUAACUACAUUUAAAAUGCAAGUGGCCAUUUACUACAGUGGUGGAAAGAAGUUCAACCCUUGCCAAACGGUGUGAGUUCAAACCCCGUCGGUGGUUAAUCUAACAUCUAAUUUAAUAAAAUCUAUCGUUUGACCCAAAAAAAAAUGUCAAACCCUUUAAGUUUGAAUUGAUUUUCAUAAUUGGCCAUGAGCUUGCAUUCUUCUCACAUUGCACCAUAAGGUUUUGAAAUUGAACACAUUUUAGUUCAUUUGUGACCUUAGGAUCUUGUCACUUUGAUUUUUGGAACCCUUUUUUCUAUGUGUUUUUUAGAUACCCAGAUGAAAAAAGAGACCAAAAUUCAAGUCCUUGGCCUUCUAUUCAAGGAUACCAUCCCAAAUUCGAUCGUCUCUGAUGUGAAAUAAUCCAACACUCAAAUUAAACCCUCUUAUUGACAAUUGUAGUAAAGAUGUAAGUAGGGAUCGUUCUUGACCGAGGAGUAGGAGGAAUUGCUAAUCUAUGCUAAACUGAGUUUAAAACACAAAACUAGGCUUGAAAACACUUAACGAGACUCAAAGAAUGGAAAACUAGACUCUAAUAUACUAAAACAACUCAAAUGACUCAAAACAGCACAAAACAAGCUAAUUGACUUAAAACAGACACUAAGAGUGAAUUUGAACGAAAAUUGGUUUUACCUUGACUCAAAAUACUUAAAAACUAAAACUAAAACAGUUUCUAACUAAUAUGACUCAACAAAGUUAAGGGGGAUUCGGUUUUGACGAAUUUGAAACAAACAAACAAAUUGUAAAACUAAACAGAUUGUAAAACAAUUUUUUUUGGAAAUAAGAUGGUUGAUGGAUUAGCUAGAGGUCCAUUCUUCACACAUGACACACUUGUACAUGAAUCAAUUUCCAAUUGCUUUUCAAUAAAUUAUGAAGCUUAACUCCCCAGAUUAACCGUGAUGCACUAAUUAACCCUCAGAUUUUCCUUUAUUCAUUGAAUUGGAUCAAUGCAUGCGACAACUCAAAUCAUUCUCCAAAGGUGCCCUACAUGAAUGCAUAAUAGAGAUACAAUCAGAGAUCAUUACGUUCCAUGAAAAUCAUAAGUGUUGACAAGACAUUCGUAACUAUGAAUGUAUGAUACGUUUGCCAAGAAUUCAAUUAACGCGAUUGUGACUAGCAACCUUCACUACUCAUGAAUAUAAAUUUGUAAUGAUUAAGUGAAACUCAAUUAUAUUCUAGCAUUAAAUUCAUGCACGAAAACUAAGUAUGCAUCCUUAAUCAACAUACAAGAAUCAGUUUUGAAGAAAACAAUUAAUUGAAUUGCAUUCACAACUUAUCAAAUCACAAUUGGAAGAGAUCAAUUCAUAUCUCAAGGAUGUUCAUGGCUUCGAACUUUCCCCUAGCUAAGUAGGGGUUUAGCCACUCAUAGUUACAGCAAAAUCAGAGAAUAAUAAAGUAGACAUUGAAAACAAGAACGAAGUACACCUAAAACGCUCCAAUCUUCAAGCUUGAAACGUCAAAGGCCCUUCUUCUUCCCCACCUUGCUGCGGCACAAGUGACUAUGGAUGUUUAUGGUUGAAUGAAAGGGUUAGAGAUGUGUUAAGGUUGAAUGUGGCUGCGGCAAAGGAAGGAGAAUGGCUGGAAUUAUGUAUGGGAGUGAAUGAAUGUGUAGAAUGGUGAAUCCCAGAUAGAGAAUGCGGCUAGGGUGUUUAUUUAAAGACUUUAGGGUAUUUAAGGCUAGGAAAUAAUUUAGGUAACAGAAAUUAAACCAAAACUUAAAGGGAAAUAGGAAUUAAAGUUAGAAUCCUAAGGAAAAGGGGAUGUAGGGUGCGGCAAAGACUGAAAAUAAAGGGAAAAGGAUUUACCUAUGCGGCAAGGGAAGAUAAUGAGUUUUCCUUGCUGAUUUGGGUCCUAAAUUAAAAGGGAAUGUGUUUACUUGUGCGGCAUGGAAAGGUAAUUGAUGAGAAAGGUGCGGCAUCCUCCUAGAGCAAGGAAUUAGAUAUCCCAAAGUGUUUAGAACUCCUUCUUUGUAGCUAAAACCUUUGUAGAUUAGGAUUAGGAAACUUUGACUUGAUCAAUCCUUCUUCUUCCUGGAUUCCUUUUCCUUCCUUGACUUGAAUUAAUUUUUCUUCCUCUCUUUAGCUGAUUCGUAGCAUGCUUUGGUCUUCAAUUUCAUCCAUCUAUAUUGCUCCAAGCAUAAGCUAUUCCAUUCAUGCCCAAGACUGCUCCAAAAGGCUCCAAAAUGCACAUUUUUGCAUACUUUGUCCUUAGAACCUAAAAUUGCAUGAAAAUGACUUUAAACACUAAAAUAACUUAAAGAAUAACAACAAAAAUGCACAAGAACAAGCUAACUAAGUCGCAUAAAUAUGCUCAUAUCAGUCUCGCUGAUGCAGACGACCCUACUCGACCCAUUCUUCAAGGGAGGUGGUUGCUCGAAGUGGGAAGUUGCCAAACCCCAAGUUGCCUUUGACCCCCACUGCUUGGGCUUCUUAGGUCAACCAGAUACACUUCGACGACUCCUAGAAAAAGUUAGUCAUUCUUGAUGCCAACAAAAUCUUUACAGUUGAGAUCAAUAUGGACUGUGAGCUUUUGGUGGCCACCCUAAACUUCUGGUGCUUGGCCACUAAUAUGAUGAUCUUGCCCCUUAGUCUAGUGAGCCCCACCCUGCUCGACGUCAUUGCCUUUCUCUGUAGGUCAUCAACUCGCCUUCCAAUCGAUGCCUCUUUUUAUCGCCUUACCAAUAUGAACUUGACUUAAACACCGUCUUUCACCUCAUCAAACUUUCCUUAUAUAAGUCAGCUAAUACUUAUACAUGGUUAUUUUAAUCUUUGCUAAAGCGCAUGCGGAAAGGCUAGUAUAUAUGAAGCCAUUAGGCAAAAACGGUAAAGCAUUUCGAAAUGAUGAAAAUACCUCACUUAACACACAAAGCUAACAAAAAUAGGGCCAAAAUUGUAAUAUAAUACCAUUCAUAAAUUAUUUACAAAUUAAAAAAACAAAAUACAAAAUGUAGAAGGUCUGCUGUGAGCAAUAUAUGUGCCCAUCUCAACAAUUACAAUUCUGAACCAUUAGAUGAAAACAACCACACAUUAAAAUUCAUUGUGACCGCUUAGACUUGACAAUUUCUCACACGAGCCGUUAACACGACACAAAAAUAACAUAUUUUAGGUUGACACAAUAACUAAUCAGGUCGUUAUCGGGUCACCAGUUAAUAAUAUGUCCUUAAUGGGUUUACACGCGAGUAACUCAUGGGUAACCCGUUUCGACCCGUAAUAAAAAAAAAUAUUUUGACAAUUUUAAAUUUAAACUACUAAAAAAACUUACUAUAAAAUACAAUAGCCCUAGUGUAUAUAUUAAUAUAUUUUAUUGGUUAAUAUUCUAUAUAAGUUAAAAAAAAAGGAGCUUUAAUAAAAAGAAAAACUAAUGAAAAUGCCUUGAAAACUUUGAGUUUUAACGAUAAGGACAAAAUAAAGGGUAAAAUGAAUAGUACCAUGUUUGACUUUUUAGUGUAAAAAUGUGCUUUUUCAUUAAAGUGAACAGUACCGCGGGCUUUUCGUUAAAACUCCCUUAAUAAAAAGGGCUUUCCACCAACCACCCCUACAAACCAGCAAAAAGAAGCCAAUUUUAAAUCCUUUCCGCAAAACCCAAUUCCAACUUCAAACUCCAAAUUUCAAACCAAAAUCUACACAACAAUGGCAUAAAAACAAAAAAUUUCGGCCAAACAACAAGUUGCCUCCAAACAAUGGUACUAAACUGAAAUCCUUGUUUGUAUGUUCGUGAUUCCAUAUAAUUGAUAGGAGCAUAUUUAUGCGACUUAGUUAGCUUGUUUUCUUGCAUUUACAUAACUAAUUUCUACUUAUUAGAGUGUUUUAAACUAUUUUCGUGUGUUUUCAGGUUCAAAUGACAAAGUUGGCAAGAAAGUACAAUUUUGAGCAUUUUAGAGCUGUUUUGGGCUUGGAAUGGACAACAUAAGGGAUGGACAUUUUUGAAGUUUGAAGAGGCUAGGAAUGUGCUACAAAUCUGGAGAAAUUAAAUCAAGACUUAGAGGAUAAGGAAUCAGCUAAAAAGAAGGAACAUUAUCUUAACCAACCUUAUCUUAUCCAACAUUAUCCAAACUAACAUUAUCUUAUCUUAUCAUAUCCUAAUCUUAUCCUACAAUAUUUUCAGUUGCAAGGGGGAUUCCUUUUCACAUUAAACCAUUUCCUAUCUAAUUUAAGGAGUCCUAAAACAAUGCAAACAACCUAAUCCCUUUUCUCCAAGGAUUGGUGCCGUGAACCCUACCCUAUAUAAACAUAAUUGUGCCACAGGUUUUAGGGGGGAUUUUCAAAGAGCUUUAGAGAGAAAUUUAGAGAAGAAAAAAAUAUAAAGAGUGCUGAAGCUUUGCAAGGAAGAAGAAGCUUGGAGCUGUGCCUGCCAUUCAAGACCUUUGGAGUGCUGGUGCGUUCCUAGGUGUAUUUUAUCUUUUGUUUUCAAUGUUUAAUUUAAGUUAUCUUUGUUUAAGUGCGACCAUGCGGAACUAAACUCGUUUUGGCUAGAGGAGAAUUCAAAGCCAUGAACAUAUAUUGCAUAUGAAUUGAUUACGUUAAAUUAUUAUUUCAUAAAUCGUGAAUGCAAUUUGCUUAAUUGUUUGAUUCAGAACUUAUUCUUGUAUGUUGAUUAAGGAGGCCUACUUAGUUUGCAUGCAUGAAUUUGAUGCUAAAAUAUAAGGGAGUUUCACCUAAUAGUUAUGAACUUAUAUUUAUAAGUAGUGGAGGUCACUGGUCAUGAUCGUGUUAAGUAAAAUUCUUGGGAGGAGUAUCAUGUUGUUCAUAGUUACGAAUGCAUUGUCAAUGCUUAUGAUUUUCAUAGAACUUAAUGAUCUUUGAUAUGUAUCUCUAUCAUGUUGUUCGUGUAGGGAACUUAAUAAGAAUAAUUUGGUUGCGAUGCUGAGUCCAAUUCAAUGAACGUAGGAAAAUUUAAGGGUUAAUCUGGGGUGUUGUCAUUCAUGGUCGAUAGGAAUAAUAAUUGGAAAUCAAUUUGUAUUCAUAUGUGUCAUGUGUGGAGAUGAACCCUCUAGCUAGCCAUUCACCCAUUAAAACACCCAAUUUCGUCCAAAGUUGUUUAGAGUCUUUAAAUAUGUCUGCUUUUACUUUAAAUUCGUCAAAAACCACUUCCCCCUUUAUAUUUUGUGUCUUUUAGUUAGAAUCUGUCCAAAAUGGUUUCUUUUUAGUAUUUUGAGUCAACAUAAGUUAGAAUUCAUCCAUACACAUUGUUUUGAGUCUUUUUAGUUCAAUUUUCGUCCAAAGUCAUCCUUAGUGUUAGUUUUGAGUCAAUUUGUUUGUUUUGUGUAGUUAUGAGUAGUUUGAGUCAGUCUUGAGUCAUAAGAGUCUAGUUAAGUGUAAUUGUGUCUAAUUUGUGUAGAUUAGAAUCCCUCCUAAUCCCCGGCCUAGAACGAUCCCUACUUAUCCAUACUACAAUUGUCAAAAAGAGGGUUUAAGUUUGAGUGCUAGUUUAUAUCACAUGAUGUGAAAUAUUCCAACACUCAAAUUAAAACCCUAUGAUUGUAGUAUAUGUAAGUAGGGAUCGUUUAAGGUCGGGGAUUAGAAGGUAUGCUAAUCUACUCAAUUUAAACUUCAAAACACUAAACUAGACUCAAAAAUAGAAAACUAGACUCUUAUGACUCAAAACUGACCAAAUUGACUCAAAACAGCAAAACUAAGUUAAAAAGACUCAAAACAACUACUAAAGAGUGAUUUGGACGAAUUCUAAACUAACUAGACUCAAAAUACUAAAUGGGGACAUAUUUGAACGAAAUUAACUAAACUAAGACACCAAAUAAGAACUAAGGGGGUUUUUGGACGAAUUUGACAAAACUAAGUAAAUUGCAGCAAACAAAGUUGAAACGAAAUUAAGAUGAAUUCAAGGGUGAAAAGCUAGUUAGAGGAUCCUUCUUCACACAUGAAACAUAUGCACAUAAAUUGAUUUCCAGUAUUGUUUCUUCAAACCAUGAAUGAUAAUGCCCCAAAUUAAUUGUGAAUGCACUAAUUAACUUUCAGAUUUUCCUCAGUUCAUUGAAUUGAAUGGACAACGCAUUGCAACCAAAUUAUUCUUAUCAAGUUCCCUAUAUGAACAGCAUGAUAGAGAUACAUUCAAAGAUCAUUAAGUUCUAUGAAAAUCAUAAGCAUUGACAUGGCAUUCGUAACUAUGAAUUGCAUGAUGCUCCUGCCAAGAAUCUACUUAACACGAUUGUGACUAGCAACCUUCACUACUUGUAAAUAUAAGUUUGUAACUAUUAGUUGAAACUCCCUUAUAUUUUAGCAUCAGAUUCAUGCAUGUAAACUAAGUAUGCAUCCUCAAUCAACACACAAGAAUAAGUUCUCAAUCAAACAGAGUAAAUCACAUUCAUGUUUUACAAAACAAAAACUAAAAGUAAUCAAUUCAUCUUAAACAUAUCUCCAUGGCUUUGAAUUCACCCCUAACUAAAAAGGAAUUAGUUCCACAUGUUCAUAACAAUUGAAAAGCAACAGA
rnacentral:lncRNA from 1 species